UAUAAGCAAGCCCAAUUAAAUAAAUGUGUAGCACUUUAUUCGUAGGCUUAGUCCACAAAUUCAUUGGUGCGUAAUCUGUUGGUUUUUCAACAAAUUCGGCGACAGUGCGAUCAAGUUUACAUACAAUUUGCUUAUUUGGAAAAAAAAAAUAAUAGGACCAAAAUACAUACAUAGGCUAGCCUAUAUCUUGUUGUUAUUUUUAUUAUUUUAUUUUCUAACGAGGACAGUUCAUCUGCAAGGUCAUUUGGAAAGCGACUUACCCCAGCUCAUAUACUGUUGUUAUUGUUAUUUUUUUUUUUCACAUUUUUUAUUGCUAUAUGUCUAACGGUUAAUUUUGAAAUCUGAGAAUCAUAUAUCUCUGUGCUUCAUUGAGAACGAUCGGAGCAAACCAGAUUUGAGAUUAUUAAUAAUUUUAGGAGCAUACUUUAUUUUCAGGUGUCAUAAAUCCGUGCCAGUGCAUUAGCAUUGAGAUGUUAUGGCAUCUUAUAAUUACUUGAUAAUUUCAUUCGCACUAUGUUAGAAUCACUGCCGGGAUAGACUUUCAAUGAUUAGCAUUAUUUUGACAUAAGCUUCUUUAUUUCUUCAUAGCUAUUAUCAACAGAUGCGCUUGGAAUGCAUGAGCAGAGACUCGAUUCCAACAAUGUGCGCUCAAUUCUGGGCACGAGGUGUUUUUUUAUAAUACAAUAGCGGUAUCUUGUGGACAGAGGUGGAAACUGCCACCAUUAAGAGACUAAAUGUGUUUCCAUAGCAACUUUACAGACUAUUCUGGAAACACUGGGGUAUUAUUGUUUCCUUAAUUUACUCUCAUGAAAUAUAGUUUCCGGUGUUUUUAUUAUAAAACAACGACAUUCUAUAAGAAAUGUAUUUAAUUAUAAACCCUCAGAUAGGCAGGUUUACCUUCUUAUUAUUAGCCUAGUCAAACUAAACUAAGCUAGAGGCUCAUCCCGCGCAUCACAUGUGAAUAUAAUAGAGCGAUCUACAACGACGUAGUAGCCCACAACACACACAGUAGUGACGCAUCUACAUUUCUGCUCUGCAACAGCAUCAAGAGGGAAUCACGAAUUCAGCUCAAAAAGGGAUUCGCUAUGACGUCACUGUGAUGAACAAAACCCCCAUCUGCCUAUUGGCUGGAAUAUAAACUCUUGUAACGUCAACAACGGACUAACUGAAAAUGGAAACGCCACAUCAUCAAGUUCUUCUUACUUUCUGCUCCUUUCAUGGGAUUUUCACAAUAACGAGAAGAGUUCAGACAGGAUGAGGUACAGUCAUGAAUUUGGACUUUCCUUCCUACAGAUUAUCGUCAAGGACAAUAUGAAUCUUCACCAGGGCAGCACUACACGGGACGACACAAACUCCACAUGUUCGCAUUUAAGCAGGCAAUCAUUUGUUUCCUAUCUAAGGAAUCGUGUUCAACGCCUCAAACGGAUCAUGUGAGGAAAUAUGGACAACGUGAUAUUGUGAUGAAAAUAAAGAAGAUGCUUUGAAGCACAUUGAGGUAGAAACAAUUUACUUGAAAUCAGAGAUUACAAUCACAAACCAUUUGUGAGAUGCUUCCUGAUGUUUAUUUGCCCCCAAAACAACAACAUUGCUACUGGGACGGGCUAGUGUGUGUGCAUACAUGUAUACAUAUGUCUUCAGACCAGCAAUAUGUCAUGUUUAAGCGUUACAGAUCAUGUGCUAUACCAAAACAUAUUAUGGCAUGCAUAGAAAGUUGGGCAUGGAAUAAAUCUUGAUCAUUUUGUUAAUUUAUCAUUUUAUUUAUUGUUUUGGACAACAAACUCACUAGUCAGCGGGAACAAUUACCAAUGACGAGAAAUUACUUGACUGUUUAGGUUAACAUUGUUAAAUAUCUAUUUUUUCAAGUAUUAUAGGUUUUUUUAUUAAAAAAAUGGAAUCGGUUAAACUGGUGACAGGUUAUUUUUCUAGCUUUUUAAAGUUUUGCUAAAUCAUUUUGAAUAUUCUGCCUGAAGUGAAAAGCAAAUGUGUGGAUGUAGAAAUUCUGUCAUGAUUAUGGCACCUUUCCUUUUAUGCAGUACAAACACUGAAGCACAAAUGUUGCUGCAGGUUUGUGUCUUUAAUUGUUUUAUGAUUGUUGUUAUAGUUUCAUAAUCACCCAUCACUGAAAGCAUCUACCUCGCCGUUUUACUGUGCGCUUACCUCUCUGUGUUGAGUUACGUCAAGCAGAUCACAAGCCUUAUUUCUGGAAACAACUCGAGCAAACAGUUAUUGUUGGAUGUGUGUUGUUCUGGCUUUUUCCAUCCUCAACUUUAGAAGUCCAGGAGAAAUAUUACUAAUUAAUAGUCUAUAGAUAGCAAGUCAAAAUUCAGUUCAGAAUUAAAUUGAUUGUAACGUAUUACGCCUGUUUUCUGUUAAUAGCGAUGUGUAGGACUAUGAAGUCGAAAACUAUAAACAUAUUUUAUUAGGCCUAGGUAAAAUAUGGGAAGUUGCAAUGUGACAGACAUGAUCAUGAUACCGAUUGUAUGAGAAUUAUAUUAGACGAAAUGUAUACAAACCCAUUUAAAUGAAGAAUUAUUCUCAUGUCUGUUCACAAGCACAUAUGUACUGCAUUCAUUUUAACUCCUGAAAUGCUGACUUUUCACAUACGUACUGCAUCAUGUCAAAUGAAUGUCCGGCAUCCAGGACAUCAUUUUGCUCGAAAGCUUCAAUGCUCCGGGGUCUUCAAGAUGCUUGAUUAUGGUUUCUUUACACUGCCAUUAUUUUCUCUUCCAUUUCAUUUACAAUCUAUUUUCGAUAAAUAAACACGUGUCAUCUGU